rnacentral:rRNA from 1 species
UACAGAGGUCUCAAGCGUUGUUCGGAUUCAUUGGGCGUAAAGGGUGCGUAGGUGGUGGGGUAAGUCGGAUGUGAAAUCCCGGGGCUCAACUCCGGAACUGCAUUCGAUACUGCCUUGCUCGAGUACUGGAGAGGAGACUGGAAUUUACGGUGUAGCAGUGAAAUGCGUAGAUAUCGUAAGGAAGACCAGUGGCGAAGGCGAGUCUCUGGACAGUUACUGACACUGAGGCACGAAGGCCAGGGGAGCAAACGGG